GAUGAACGCUGGCGGCGUGCUUAACACAUGCAAGUCGAACGGAAAGGCUCCUGCUUGCAGGGGCACUCGAGUGGCGAACGGGUGAGUAACACGUGGGUGAUCUGCCCUGCACUUCGGGAUAAGCCUGGGAAACUGGGUCUAAUACCGGAUAGGACCAUCGUUUAGUGUCGGUGGUGGAAAGUUUUUUCGGUGUGGGAUGAGCUCGCGGCCUAUCAGCUUGUUGGUGGGGUAAUGGCCUACCAAGGCGUCGACGGGUAGCCGGCCUGGGAGGGUGUACGGCCACUUUGGGCCGGGGAAACGGCCCAGACCCCUACGGGGGGCAGAGGGGGGAAGUAUGGCCAAAGGGGGGCAAGCUGUGUGGAGCGAGGCCGGGGGGGGGAGGACGCCCUUCGGGUUUGAAACCCUUUUCCCCGGGGACGAAGCGAAAGGGACGGUACCUGGAAAAAAAGCACCGGCUAACUACGG
rnacentral:rRNA from 1 species